UACGUAGGAUCCGAGCAUUAUCCGGAGUGACUGGGUGUAAAGAGUUGCGUAGGUGGCAUAGAAAGUCGGUGGUGAAAUCUGGUGGCUCAACCAUUCAGGCUACCAACGAAACUUCUAAGCUCGAGACCGUUAGGGGUAACUGGAAUUUCUAGUGUAGGAGUGAAAUCCGUAGAUAUUAGAAAGAACACCGAUAGCGUAGGCAGGUUACUGGGGCGGUUCUGACACUAAGGCACGAAAGCGUAGGGAGCAA
rnacentral:rRNA from 1 species